rnacentral:rRNA from 1 species
UAGGGAAUCUUCGGCAAUGGGGGGAACCCUGACCGAGCAACGCCGCGUGAGUGAAGAAGGUUUUCGGAUCGUAAAGCUCUGUUGUUAAGGAAGAACGAGUGUGAGAAUGGAAAGUUCAUACUGUGACGGUACUUAACCAGAAAGGGACGGCUAACUACGUGCCAGCAGCCGCGGUAAUACGUAGGUCCCGAGCGUUGUCCGGAUUUAUUGGGCGUAAAGCGAGCGCAGGCGGUUGGAUAAGUCUGAAGUUAAAGGCAGUGGCUCAACCAUUGUAGGCUUUGGGAACUGUUUGACUGGAGUGCAGAAGGGGAGAGUGGAAUUCCAUGUGUAGCGGUGAAAUGCGUAGAUAUAUGGAGGAACACCGGUGGCGAAGGCGGCUCGCUGGUCUGUAGCUGACGCUGAGGCUCGAAAGCGUGGGGAGCGAACAGG